CGGGACACGUGUUAUCCUGUCUGAAUAUGGGGGGACCAUCCUCCAAGGCUAAAUACUCCUGAUUGACCGAUAGUGAACCAGUACCGUGAGGGAAAGGCGAAAAGAACCCCGGCGAGGGGAGUGAAAAAGAACCUGAAACCGUGUACGUACAAGCAGUAGGAGCCUCUUUAUGGGGUGACUGCGUACCUUUUGUAUAAUGGGUCAGCGACUUAUAUUCUGUAGCAAGGUUAACCGUAUAGGGGAGCCGUAGGGAAACCGAGUCUUAACUGGGCGAAUGAGUUGCAGGGUAUAGACCCGAAACCCGGUGAUCUAUCCAUGGGCAGGUUGAAGGUUGGGUAACACUAACUGGAGGACCGAACCGACUAAUGUUGAAAAAUUAGCGGAUGACUUGUGGAUGGGGGUGAAAGGCCAAUCAAACCGGGAGAUAGCUGGUUCUCCCCGAAAGCU
rnacentral:rRNA from 1 species